UAAUCAGUUAGAUCUUUGUUUGAAGAAUCUGUCUUCUUGCAUUCGAAAAUUUUAUAUAUCAUAUAAUUUUCGUUGAUAUUUGCUCAGAGACUAAAAUCUUCAUUGGUAACAUGUUUAAAGAGAGAUUGCUCUGGUUGUUCACGUUGUGACAUUUGUUGAAUUUGGCAGGUUCAUGGAUCUCAAAUGCAAAGCAACAUGGACACGCUUAUUCAACAUAGUCAAGGACCAAAGUAAACAAUGAGAUUCCUUAUGGGAUCUUAAAGAACAUUUUCAUACAACAUAGUACAACAGGAUCUUAACUUAGAUUCGUCAUGCGAUUUUGUAAACCCGUCUCUUAGAUAGGCGAAUGAAACAACCAUGGAGAUAUUGAAAAGGUUUCAUCCUCGAUGUAAAAGGUAUAAUGUUUCUUGAUGUGCUGUUUUUUUCUUUUGCAUGUGUUGACAUGUUAUAUAUAGAGGUUGUAGAUGUUUAGGGUUAGGUUUGAUUGUAAAGCGGAAAAAUUUUGGUGAUCAAGUUCAAAAUCUUGAAAAUC